ACCUUUAGAUUCUUCUCUUCUCCCUCUCACGGUCGUGAAGCAGCAACAACGCCGGGGAAAGCCUUUCUCCUCCAACGAAACCGACAUCAUCGCACAGCCACCGUGAACAUACGAAUUAUCACCUCUCAUCUCGACUCUCUUCUAUCUCUGGUCUCCACGCGUUCUCAAUCUCUCUCUCUCUCUUCUCAAAUCCCAGGUUCUCUCUCGAUUCUCUCCGAUGAAUUGAAAUCACGCCUCAACAAGAACAGAACACGCUAAAAAAGAAGGUCACCACUCAGUUGUUGAUACGUGGAUGGAGUUGAUGCGGGUUGAAGGUUCCUUCUGAGUUUGUGAAGACUUGAAGGAUCGAUCGAAGAAGAUGAAGAGGGGAUGCCGUUUUCUUUGAAGGUCUGAGAUUGAUCAUUUGACAGCCUUAUGCAGUCAAGGACUGUAGAUGCACCUAUUAGGGGAGAAGAGGGAGAUACUUCAAAGCACUGUUGAUCUUGUUCAAAAUAACUUGAACUUAGAGGUGAUCUAUGGGGAUACUGAUUCAAUAAUGAUUUACAGUGGGCUAGAUGAUAUUGCAAAAGCAACUUCAAUAGCUAAGAAAGUUAUUCAAGAGCUAGAUCUUCUAUGGUGUCAGUCUGGCUCAGGCCAGCUGUGGUGGUUGAAUGUGAAGUUAUUGGUGAUUCCACCAAUAAUUAUCCGAGCAGAGUUUAAAAAAUGGGCAUUGAACUGCUACAAUAUAAUGCUCUGGUCAAUGUCUGUGGUGCCGUAGUCUGCAAGGAAGAAUGCGAUCCAUUUGUAUCUGUGACUCUUGUGAGGCAGGGUGCUAAACAUAAUGAAGUGAGAAAGACAAUUAGCUUGACCUCUGAGAGUAGUGAACUUCUGUUUUCUGAUGUUAUUCCUGGAAAAUACAGGCUUGAGGUGAAACAUAGUUCCCCUGAAUCAGUGGCCAAGGAAGAUAAUUGGUGCUGGGAGAAGAGCUUCAUAGAUGUAAAUAUUAGAGCUGAGGACUUGGAAGGAAUUGUUUUUGUUCAAAAAGGUUACUGGGUCAAUGUGAUCUCCACUCAUGAAGUUAGGGGGGUUACAUAACUCAACCUGAUGGAUCAACUGUGAAUUUAAAGAUUCAGGGUCUUGAAGUUUUUAGGAAGAAGCAUGUAUUGGUGUUCAUUUCGAGUCUUGAUAGCAUUGAAGAUGAGAUUUCACUUUUGAAUUCAAUCUAUGAAAGAUUGCAAGAAAACUCAAAAGAAUCAAUAGAAGGUUUCAAGAAAGAAGACUUCAAGAUUUUGUGGAUCCCCAUUAAAUGUAUGUGUUAGGAGGUUCAUGAUUCUAUCCUUGCUGCAGAUCCACCCUCAUGCUUCAAAACAAGUCUUGGAUGAACUUUCUGAAAACCUUCAAAUUCCUAUUGUGGUUCAACCACCACAGAUGCAGAGCUGCAGAUUGGAGACGAAGAAGAUUGUGAUGAAGAUAUGGAAGAAGCUUGUGAUCAUGAAGAUGUGAAAGAAGGUUGUCCUGAAGAUGUGGAAGAAGAACAAGGAGAUGAUCAAGAAGAAUUUUAAGAAGUUGUGUUUUAUAUUAUCUAGCUAACUAGUUCUUAGAAGUUGUGUUUUAAGAAGUUGUGUUUUAUAUUAUCCAACUUAUUAGUGACACUACAAAAAAAAUUACUUUUGACGUUAAUGUUAAUUUGCUUGUAAUUAA